GGGAUAUCCAACUUCCGUGCCAGACAGCGCAUGUCAGCCUCCCAGGGGAUGCAGGCCUCAGCCCCGCAGACCUGCUGGAAACCUGGUUCAGAGGCCAGGCCAGCACGAGCAGAGUGGCUUUGCGGCUCCCUGGGUGGUUGCAGGAGGGUGGUUGCAGCCUCUCUGGACAUGGGAAGGAUCAGCUGAGGAGUGAGGAUGGCGGCGAUUACCCACAGCCUUAGUGUGACCUGCUCAUUUGCAGC